GCGGGAGUAGUUCAGCGGUAGAAUGUUUCCUUGCCAAGGAAAAUGUGGCGGGUUCGACUCCCGUCUCCCGCU
rnacentral:tRNA from 1 species